AAAUUGAAGAGUUUGAUCAUGGCUCAGAUUGAACGCUGGCGGCAGGCCUAACACAUGCAAGUCGAACGGUAACAGGAAGAAGCUUGCUUC
rnacentral:rRNA from 1 species